GCGCCCCUGCGUUGAUGGGUGACCACUAUGUUGCCUGAGCCGAUAACCGUCGAACGGGAGCUUUACUACUCUUGGUGUGUGAAUCCCGCCAGUUCGGGAUACCUGAUCCUGGAGUGUUGCACCCACCUACGACAUAAGGGUUCGACAACUCUUGAGUCAUACCGUCAACGCGGGGGCGCU
rnacentral:other from 1 species